rnacentral:lncRNA from 1 species
GAUAUUAAAUGAAUCCUUUUACAUCAUUCAUGUCCUUUCAUUUAACAACUAUAAUCAUCAAAGUACAAAAGAUGAUAUAUCAAAAGGGGUAUGCAACUAUGAAAUGAAACAUCUCGGGCGGUCUCUACCUAGGGCGCGAUGCCCUUACCGCGGUCGUCUGCCGGCUCGCUCGGUCCCGGCUCUGUGAAAAUAGUGGGGUGAGAACUACAACAAAGUUCCCAGUGGGUUUGGCAACCAACCACGCCGACUAUCCCACUAGGUCUAA